AGCGAACGCUGGCGGCAGGCCUAACACAUGCAAGUCGAACGAAGUCUUCGGACUUAGUGGCGGACGGGGGAGUAACACGUGGGAACGUGCCUUUAGGUUCGGAAUAACUCAGGGAAACUUGUGCUAAUACCGAAUGUGCCCUUCGGGGGAAAGAUUUAUCACCUUUAGAGCGGCCCGCGUCUGAUUAGCUAGUUGGUGAGGUAAAGGCUCACCAAGGCUACGAUCAGUAGCUGGUCUGAGAGGAUGACCAGCCACAUUGGGACUGAGACACGGCCCAAACUCCUACGGGAGGCAGCAGUGGGGAAUCUUGCGCAAUGGGCGAAAGCCUGACGCAGCCAUGCCGCGUGGAUGAUGAAGGUCUUAGGAUUGUAAAAUCCUUUCACCGGUGAAGAUAAUGACUGUAGCCGGAGAAGAAGCCCCGGCUAACUUCGUGCCAGCCGCCGCAGUAAUAC
rnacentral:rRNA from 1 species